rnacentral:rRNA from 17 species
AGUUAAAAAGCUCGUAGUUGGAUUUGUGGCUGUCGCGUGCGGCCCGGCAUUCGUGCCGGUGCUUGCUAGCGUCGCCAUCCUUGGGUGGAACCUGUGUGGCAUUAGGUUGUCGUGCAGGGGAUGCCCAUCGUUUACUGUGAAAAAAUUAGAGUGUUCAAAGCAGGCUUAUGCCGUUGAAUAUAUUAGCAUGGAAUAAUAAAAUAGGACGUGCGGUUCUAUUUUGUUGGUUUUUGGAAUCGCCGUAAUGAUUAAUAGGGACAGUCGGGGGCAUUAGUACU